GGCGAGAUGGCCGAGCGGUCUAAGGCGCCAGACUAAGGACCAGCUCAUUCGUUGAGCAUCUCAAUCUGGUCUUUCGGGGCGUGGGUUCGAAUCCCACUCUCGUCA
rnacentral:tRNA from 1 species